rnacentral:lncRNA from 1 species
UCUCUUAUCCCAUGCCCACUCUCUCUUAUUUUAUGCGAUAAAACUUCUCUCCCAGAUCUUCACACAUGCCCAAAACUUUUCUCUCUUUCUCUCUUACAUGGAAAGUGGUUGUGGAUCAAGUCAAAGUAAGAAUUAGUUUGGAUUUCAAAUUCUAUGAGAUAGAGUUUUAGGAAACCAAAACUCUUUCUUUAUGGCACUGAUUUUAUCCAGAUUUUUUCUAAAAUUUUCAUGGCUUUUAUGGCAUAUAAUAUGCAUCCUUUGCUGGUGGUCCACGUACAAAAAGAAAAAGGGGGCGUCCAAGAGUUGGACGCCCCUUGUCUUGCCAUGUUUGGAUAAUCCUUGACUAGAUAUUUGAUCUAGACAAAGACUCUAUCAUAUCUCUCUAUUUAAAAUGAAUUUCUUCAUGAAAUUUUCGUAGAAAACAAAGAAAAGAGAUAUCUUUGGGGCGUGCAAAAAUUAAGAAGAAAAAAGGUUGGGGCAUGGAGAUACAAUAGACACAAGACUAGGUGUCUAAGUGAGAGCAAAGAGAAGAAGAAGAGG